rnacentral:pre_miRNA from 1 species
UAUGGCUUUUUAUUCCUAUGUGAAGGUGAACAAGGCUCAUGUAGGGAUACAAGCCACUAA